rnacentral:rRNA from 1 species
CAAGACCUUGCGCUGAAGGAGCGGCCGAUGUCUGAUUAGCUUGUUGGUGAGGUAAAGGCUUACCAAGGCAACGAUCAGUAGUUGGUCUGAGAGGACGGCCAGCCACACUGGGACUGAGACACGGCCCAGACUCCUACGGGAGGCAGCAGUGGGGAAUUUUGGACAAUGGGCGAAAGCCUGAUCCAGCCAUGCCGCGUGAGUGAAGAAGGCCUUCGGGUUGUAAAGCUCUUUCAGUCGGAAAGAAAAGAUCAUGACUAAUACUCAUGAUUCAUGACGGUACCGACAGAAGAAGCACCGGCUAACUACGUGCCAGCAGCCGCGGUAAUACGUAGGGUGCGAGCGUUAAUCGGAAUUACUGGGCGUAAAGGGUGCGCAGGCGGUCUUGCAAGUCGGAUGUGAAAGCCCCGGGCUUAACCUGGGAAUU